UCUCACUUCUCACACGCAUCCAAACGUGCCCUGGUUUAGCUUGUUCCGGUUCUGGCUACUCGUGUGUAGCCAAUGCUCAGAGACGCUUUGAAAAAGUUUUAAUUCACAUAUGUACAUUAAAAUAACAACAAAAAAAGUGAGUGAAAACUGGAAAACCUUUGACCUUAACUUUAAAACAAACACAUAGCUUAUUGCAAGCCCAUCUUUGGGCCACUUCAAACUGGCACAUCAAUUUUGGUUUUCCUAUCCGCCACCUGGCGCUGGCGGCGGUUCCUCAACUCAGCUAAUAUUCU